CUCGAGCGGCGGCCGCCUCGGCGUGCGCCCCGGGUCUCCCCAAGUGUUUGCAAACUGCUGAGCCCGGAGGUGGGCGCGCGGGACUCGAGGGAGAGGGCUGGGCUUCUAGGGGGGCGAUUAUGUGUGUUUGGACGCUGGGACCCGCGAUGGGGGGGUGGACAGACGUCGACCCAGGAGGAGUUGCAAUCGAGGUUUCUGCUCUCUGGCUUCCUCUCCGGCCGGCGACCCCCUCCCCCCGGCGCCGAGCUGGGGAGGGGAAAACAGGAUUUGAACCGUAUUAGCAUUCGCAUGCCUGGGAAGGUUGCAGCCCUCGCCUGGAACUGGGUGAUGGAAGCUUUUUCUUUCUUUCUGUUUUUAUUUUUGAAGAGGAACAGCCCUGUAAUUGUCCUGAACACAUGCUUCUCUUCUCCACCACCACCCCACCUCUUUCCUCCAGCCACCAGCGACAGAGUCCCCCCCUUUUUUGCAUUUCUUUCCCUUCCCCUUUCUUUAUUAAAGGUCCGGGAGUGGCGGCGGCCAAUCAGCGCGCGGCUUCCAUCUUGUGAGUUCAACUCCGAGGCUCCCGGGCUUGGCGAGGACGCGUUCACAGCCCCCUCUGCCUCUCUUCUCGGGCGGCCAAGGCGAAGGAGCCGCCUGACUGGGGCUUCGUGGCGGUGUAUUUCAUAUUGGGGCUCUUUUCGGGGUUUGUAAUUUGGCCGUGGGUAGGUAAUUGGCUGGAGCUGAGCGGCAGGGCGCGGCAGCCAAUCAGCGCUCGGCUUCUAUAGGGUUUGAGUUAUUAGACGCUGAUCUCAAAACAUCCUUCAUCAGACACCAAGGAGAGGCCAACAGAUGAGGGGAGCCAUUUUUCUGCAAUGGAAUUAAAUGGCCAAGUGGGUUUUUCCUUUGUUGCGAGUGGGGAAUGUUUUUCCUUUGACUCCACCAUCCAGUUCAGGACGCUUGCAUGUGUUGUUUAACAUUUGUCAACAGGCUAAAGGACUCAAAAUUGGAAGAAUGAAGAAGACCUUUUAAAAAGAUCUGGAUUUUUCCUUAUGACUUGGAAUCCAUCUUUGUCUUGUAUAACUAGGUCAUAGCACACCAUUAAUGUCAGCAGUUAACAGUUUUGAAUUCCAAAAAACCUAAGUAAAUGACAUUUAAUUUUUUUCCUCUUUUUUUUCUUGGGUGGGUGGGGGGAGCUUGGCGCUGUCUUAAUCUGUAUUCUCUUGACUGAACAAUAAAUUUUUAAAUAUAGUUUCCUCUAUUAAACACUUAAACCUGGCCAUCUUAAUAACUCCUCUCUUUUUAACAAGGUAAUGUUUUAAAUGUAUAGUUUUAGGACUAGCGAAAUGGCAGCAACAAAAAAAUGUGUGAGCAGUCGUUACUCUUAAGUUUCUAAAAACCUUUUACAUUGUAAGUACCCAAUCCAUUCUGUCCUUAUGCAGUGCAGUUUUCUUGUUAAUGUUGGCUGAGCUGUCCUUAAUUUUCUGAACCUUCAUCUGCAUGUCUGUCUUUGUCUCUUGUCUAAUAUGAGCCAGUGAAAAUGCUUUUUAGACGAUUUUGCUUAUAUAAAGCUUAAGGUUUUAGCUUCAAGCUUUUGAAAAUGUUUAUAGCAAUAAAUGCUAGUCAGCCUUCCCAGUAACGUUUACACUCUUUGAAAAUCGAUCUAUUUGAAGAAAAACAGCUCUGUUUUUCUCGUCUUGGUGGUGGUGGAGGGGGGAUGGUUAGAAAAAGGAAGACCUUCUCUUUGUGUAGAAAGACGAAAACCGUCACAGGAAACUAGAUUAAAGCUGGAAAACAAGUCCUAGCUGGUUCAAGCCAAACACCAACGAUAACUCGGUCGUAUUUUCUAUGGUGGUUGGGAUGGCUGGUGCGCCUUUUGCCUUUUGUUUGAUUUGACUGUGUGUUUUCGCCUUUUGUCUCUUAAUGACGGUCACACCAUUGCUAUAUCCAGAGCAGUAAACAGUCCUCAGCGAAGCCGCCUUUUUGCCAACCCAACUCUGGAAAGGUUGCAGACGUGGAAGGAGCAGAAAAAUGCCAUAAGAGUGUAACUUACUAAAAGCUUCAUCUUCUAGACUCCAUGGCACCGGGCUGAGCGGGUUCUUGGCUGGAGAAGGGGCAACAACCGGUUACCCGCGGAGUGGACAACCCUUCCUUCCCUUGGACAGCAGGAGCAGGCCUAGUUUGACAAUCCUCCCGUCAAAGGACCCUGGGGGUGGAGAUGGCUGCCGCUGCUCGGACCAAGGAGAGAGGCGUCCAAACGUUGUGGAGUCACCUACCCUGUGCGUUCUCCAGCUGCCUGUGACCCCCCAGCAACCCCUGCCCGCGGGACUGGAGCAGAGAACUGGGUGUAACCUUGUGAGCCGUUCCAAAGUGUUGAAAAGAUAGGAUCCUGCCUUGUUGCCCGAACUCCUGGCUUCCACUUCUGCGUCAGCCCCAGUACCUGUGACCGCAGGUGGCGAGCGGCUGGGUGCGGGCAGUGCUUUGUGCUGUGGAAAGUCACUGCCCUCCAGUGCUGGUGGCCGCUGGGGCUUGCAGAGACCUGCGGCCAGGUGCCAGGUACCUUGGCAGAUAAGUGGCCUGGUCGCCAUUUCCUCCCUCCGGGCCCUUGGGUGUCCAGGCUCCUUCCUGGGCCUGGGGUUUUUAUCUCUCACCAGCCGGGUGUUAAAUAAUUGAUUUAUGGUUUCCAACGCCCCGGAAGUGGGCGUCAUCAGCCCCCACCUGGCUUGUGGUAGCUGGACUUUGCCCAUUUCUCUCCAGGCUCAGAGUCCCCGUUGGCCUCCCUGUGGCAGGGUAAUCACACAUGAGCUCGCCCCACAAAAGCCACCUGGUAUCUCCCCGACCUUCCUGGGGCCCAGCAGAUCUUGUGGCAGGAACCAGCUCGCUGUCUCCAGGACCCCAUUGUGAGCAAGAGGGUGGUGAGGGUCCCGGGACACCUUGCCACUUGGAAGCAGCCUGGGGAGGGCAGGUGUGUCUGGCUCCUGUGCCAGCCACGAGGCCUCCAAGGAAGCACUGAGCAGCUGGCUGGGCUCCUGGGUAUUUUUAGCUACAGAUUCAGCCUCACCAUCACCAUGAGAGCUGGGUCCAUAUCAAACACUGAGGCCAGAGGGGACUGGGACUCUGCCAGACUCCUGGCCGGGCAGGCAGGGUGGGUGGGGCAGUUGCAGCUGUUCUGCCUGCUCCCAGGCAGGGCUGUGCUUUUGCUUGUUCUCUGCAGCUUGUUGUCACAGAUAGUAGAGCACCUAGCCCCAUUUCUCAGGUGGACAAAAUAGACUGAGGUCUGGGGGCUUUUUUUCCUUUGAAGUUGACAGUCUUGCUAUGUAGUUCAGGCUGGCCUUGAACCAUGUACCCCAGGUUGGCCUGGAACUCCAUGGUAGUCCUCCUGUCUCAGCCUCCUGAGUGCUGGGUUUACAGGCAUGUGCCACCUGGCAGUCCAAGGAUGUUGAGGAAAGGCAGGCACCCACCCACAGACCAUUGUGGUGAACCAGGCUUCUUGAGCCUUCUCAGGAAGUUCUGCCCAGGCCCCUUGCCGGUUGGACAGCCUCCCUCCCUCCCUGAGCUUCAGGUCCUGGGUGCAGGGCUCGAGGCUAGCUGCAAAGGUAAGUGGUUCUCACUUAAUCCCAAACCCACGCUGAGUGCCCCUUUGCCGGGCUGUGGUCCUACACUGUUCGGAUCUCCAUCAGACUGGUGCCCCUAACACUUCGAGCUCUGGGCAGGCAGGAACGCAGUUGCUUCUCAAUAAACAUGUUGCAAAAAAGGAACAGAUGAGUUGGAUGUGUAUUUAUUUAUCGAUGGAGCCCUUGACCUAGAAGAUCCUCCAUCCAGCGACAGGAGAGGGUGCCCACCUAAGAACCUGGCCUCCUUCCAGAUCGGCUGUUGUCUAUGGGUUUCCGCGGGCGGUCACUGCUGCUCUCUGGCGGCCACACUUCGUCUUGCACCUGCUGGAG
ensembl:lncRNA